rnacentral:rRNA from 1 species
AUUGAACGCUGGCGGCAGGCCUAACACAUGCAAGUCGAACGAGUGGCGGACGGGUGAGUAAUGUCUGGGAAACUGCCUGAUGGAGGGGGAUAACUACUGGAAACGGUAGCUAAUACCGCAUAACCUCGGAUGUGCCCAGAUGGGAUUCGCUAGUAGGUGGGGUAAAGGCUCCCCUAGGCGACGAUCCCUAGCUGGUCUGAGAGGAUGAACAGACACAGUGGAAGUCAGACACGGUCCGGACGCCUACGGGGUGCAGCAGUGGGGAAUAUUGCAAAAGGGGAGCGAGGUUGAUGCAGCCAUGACGCGUGUAUGAAGAAGGCCUUCGGGUUGUAAAGUACUUUCAGCGGGGAGGCGUUACCCGCAGAAGAAGCACCGGCUAACUCCGUGCCAGCAGCCUCGGUAAUAC